rnacentral:ncRNA from 1 species
GCACGCCUGUCGGGACCCGAAAGAUGGUGAACUAUGCCUGAGCGGGGCGAAGCCAGAGGAAACUCUGGUGGAGGCUCGAAGCGAUACUGACGUGCAACACGUUCGUCUGACUUGGGUAUAGGGGCGAAAGACUAAUCGAACCAUCUAGUAGCUGGUUCCCUCCGAAGUUUCCCUCAGGAUAGCUGGAGCCCAUUACGAGUUCUAUCAGGUAAAGCCAAUGAUUAGAGGCAUUGGGGACGC